rnacentral:snRNA from 1 species
AUCACUUCUUGGCCUUUUGGCUAAGAUCAAGUGCAGAAUAUAUUAUAUGAAAAGUAUUUUUAAUUAAAAACAAA